AUCGAUUCUUCGCGCUGUGGCUAAGAUCAAAGUUUAGUUUCUGUUCUUGUCGAAGUAACCUGCGAUAGAGAUUGAAUGAGUCUCGUUAGCGUAAUUUGAUUUUUGGAACCGAAUGGGUUUGCUGUUCUGCAACCCACCGCGGGUCGGCCCAGCAUUGCACUGGUGCUGGGAUCGGCCUACCCAAG
rnacentral:snRNA from 1 species